GAUGAACGCUGGCGAUAGGCUUAACACAUGCAAGUCGAGGGGCAGCAUGGUCUUAGCUUGCUAAGGCUGAUGGCGACCGGCGCACGGGUGCGUAAAGCGUAUGCACCUUGCCUCACAGAUGGGGAUAACCCGUUGAGAGACGGACUAGUACCGCGUACACUCUAUGUUGGGCGUCCAAUGUAGAGGCAAUGAAUUUCGCUGUGAGAUAGGCAUGCGUGCCAUUAGCUAGUUGGUGAGGUAACGGCUGAUCAAGGCGACGAUGGGUAGGGGAACUGAGAGGGGGAGCCCCCAGAGUGGUACCGGGACACGGACCAGACACAUACGGGACGCAGCAGUAAGGGAGACUGGUGAAUGGACGAGAGCCUGAACCAGCCAAGUCGCGUGAAGGAUGACUGUCUUAGGGAUUGUAAACUUCUGUUAGACGGGAAUAGCAGGAGUCACGGGUGGCUGCCUGAAGGUACCGGAUGAAUAAGCAUCGGCUAACUACGUG
rnacentral:rRNA from 1 species